rnacentral:tRNA from 1 species
GCCUGGGUGGCUCAGUCGGUUAAGCAUUGGACUUUGGCUCAGGUCAUGAUCUCGUGGAUCGUGGGCUCGAAUCCCACAUCGGGCA